UACGUAGGGUGCGAGCGUUAAUCGGAAUUACUGGGCGUAAAGCGUGCGCAGGCGGUUUUGUAAGCCAGAUGUGAAAUCCCCGGGCUUAACCUGGGAAUGGCAUUUGGGACUGCAAGGCUUGAGUGCGGCAGAGGAGACUGGAAUUCCCGGUGUAGCAGUGAAAUGCGUAGAUAUCGGGAGGAAUACCGAUGGCGAAGGCAGGUCUCUGGGCUGACACUGACGCUGAUACGCGAAAGCGUGGGGAGCAAACAGG
rnacentral:rRNA from 1 species